CAAUAGCGUAUAUUUAAGUUGUUGCAGUUAAAAAGCUCGUAGUCGGAUUUUGGCUGAGAACGAUCGGUCCGCCGUUAGGUGUGCACUGAUUGGUCUCAGCUUCCUGGUGAGGAGGUGUGCUUCACGGCCACUUAGUCACCGUGGUUACUUUGAAAAAAUUAGAGUGUUCAAAGCGGGCUUACGCUUGAAUAUAUUAGCAUGGAAUAACACCAUAGGACUCCUGUCCUAUUUCGUUGGUCUCGGGACGGGAGUAAUGAUUAAGAGGAACAGUUGGGGGCAUUCGUAUUUCAUUGUCAGAGGUGAAAUUCUUGGAUUUACGGAAGACGAACUACUGCGAAAGCAUUUACCAAGGAUGUUUUCAUUAA
rnacentral:rRNA from 1 species